rnacentral:lncRNA from 1 species
GACGGAUGAGAUCGAUCGCGAUGGAUAGCUCAGAUCAAGUAGGAUGGGUAUAAAUAUCUCGCAUCACACGGGAAUCCAAACCCUAUCCGCCAGCCCCCGUCAAAGAAGAAAAGCCAGACGUUGGAGAAGGAGGUCAACUGUCGACCGCGAAAAGUGGUAAAAAUUUCUCCUACCCACUCAGAAUUUUAUUCUGAGCACCCCCAUGUUCACAUCAGAGCAAAAG